rnacentral:tRNA from 1 species
GGCGGGUUAGCUCAGUUGGUAGAGCAAACGGCUCAUAUCCGUUUUGUCAUAGGUCCGAGUCCUAUACCCGCUA